rfam:Otolemur garnettii contig009545, whole genome shotgun sequence.
GGAAAGGAAGCUCUAUUGUUUCUAACAGCCCUGUUUGGAGGAGUCAUAAAAAUUGAGACAUCUUUCCUCUGAUAUGCAUUUCGGAUGAUUGUCUGAGGGAGUAGAGAAGUCUUUGAGACCGUUUGUGGCUCUUUGUAGGGUCACUCACUGUGAUCCCUACGUUGGCUGAUUCUUCCCAACAUAAUUACAUUUUUCUGAUUCUCCCAGUAGGGUAUGGGGUAGUCAUUUAGGGAGAACCUCCAGAGCUACAGAAAA